rnacentral:lncRNA from 1 species
AUCCAAGCCAGCAGCCUGUGCUGAGACCUUGCAAAAGAAACAAAAUUGUUGUUUGUACUGUUUAAUACUAAGAAUUAAGAUUUGUCCAACCCUGAAAAAACAGUCACCCAUACACAACACAGGUGCACGCACACUGGUGGAGGCGAUGAAAAAGUUCAGUGUUCUGGUUUUGUCUCCUGCAGAUUGCUAGUGCGACGACUGCGCCAUCCAUCCCAUCACAUCUGUCCCCAGGUCUUCGUGACGUGGCUCUGCGUUGUUUAGAACUUCAGCCUCAGGACAGACCUCCAUCAAGAGAGCUACUGAAGCAUCCUGUCUUUCGUACUACAUGGUAGUUACUCAUUCAAAUCAACUAUAAUGGAGACAGGAAGUGCAACAAGGAAAGAAUAAAAAGAACUUGUGGGCAACCACAUUGAGAAUCUACUGGCCCUCAUGCCACUGAACAGCUAGAAAUGAGGCCAGUGGGGAACCCUUACCUAAGUAUGUGAUUGACAAAUCAUAAUCUGUACCUAAGCUCAAUAUGCAAAAGUCCACAACUUGUGCAGAAACUGUAAACCGUGCCUUUCAAAGGACUGGCUCUGGGUGAACAGGAAAGCAAUGGAGUUUGCAUGAUUAAAUAACAGAAGCAUAAAUUUAUUUUUGGAGCACUUUUUCAGCAAUAUUAGCAGCUGAGGGCUCAGGAUCUGUUUUAAUGUGUCACUUCUUCCAUUUCAUCUAGUGAUCACAGCAGGGGGUUCUACAAUUCCGUUUGGGUUUUUUGUCACUGGCUAUAAAGAAAUCAAUGUCUGCCUCUUUUAGGUCAGAGUAUGCUAUGAGUAGCAGUAAAUACAUGUAUUUUUAAAAGUUAAUAACUUCUUUAUGACCCACAGUUGACCUUUUUUUAAAAAACAAAAACUUCUGGUCAGUUGUGGUUUGUUGUGCAUUUUACUGUUGGCCCGUUCAUUUCGUUUUUUGGAAAAUAUGGUUCUGUAUUUUCAUUUCACCUUCAUUUUGUUUAAUAUUCAGGGAAAGGUGAUCUCUUCAAACCAGAAAAAAAAAUAGAAGUAGGUAUGAACUAGUUUAUUAAAUCUGUGCCUAUUGCAAGAGUUGUGUUUUCUUCUCAUUGGCGUAUAAUGAAGUACUGGCUACAUAGCGUCAGUUUCUCCCCUCACUGUGCGGGUUACGUAUCUACUCACUUCAGAGUUGGCUGUUCUCAGACGCAGCUCACAAGGCAGGGCAAGAUCAUCUGAAAGUUAGGUGAAUUAUCUCAUUAUUUUGCUAGCCUAAAGGAAAUUCCCACCAUUGAAAUCUUCCUCUUGUAACAAUCCAUCAUUCAGUCCCACUGAUUAUGAUGUAACUGCUAUUUUCCUUCUGCCAUGCAUGUUGUUUUUAUACUAGACCUGGUUGAUAAACUCAUUUACUCAACUACCAAUCAGUAAUGUUUCUAAACAAACAAUAAAGUUGCUUUGCAUUUAGAGAAUGUCCAGAGAGAAACAUGAAUUUGAAUUUCAUUUACACACUAAUUCCUGGAAUUUGCACAACUAUUUAAUUGUCUUAACCUCAAGUUGAAUUCAGAUGCAUGGAAUCCUGAAGGAAAAUGGUAGAACUUUGCAUGUGUCUUUUAAAUCAAGUACUGAUUAGCUAUUAAAUGUAACUUUGAAAUGUUAAGUUUUAACUCUUCAGAAGCCAGUGUGAAAUAGAAUUGGUUAUUCUCAAAGACUCAGGAUAAACUAAAUAAGCUAUGUAUAUGUAGUACAUUUGAAAUGUACAACACAAAUUGGAAGUAAAUUAAGUUCCAAGAUAAGUUUACAGGGAUAUAUUGCAGAUAAUUUUCAAAGGCAGUUUUUCUGUGAAUGUGCUUCUUAAGUGAAAUUUUACAUUCCUUUGUUUUGGAAGAUUGGCAAUAUUUGAAGAGUUAAAAAAUAAUACAGAAAUGUGAAGUUUGGUAAUGCUAAAUGUGUUGUACUUGACUUCCUUUUUAUUUCCUUUUUAUUUUUACUUUUGACUACUUAGAAUUUUCACAAUUCUAAUCAGAUUGUUCCCAAGUCUCGUGUGCAAGCUUUAAAGGACGCACUCUUGCCAUUUUAUGUACUGGAAGAUCAUUGGUCAGAUUAGCACUGUCUGACAGGUGUAAACUGUAGAAACUGAGGAACCUCAGCUAUCAGUAUUACUGUGUACAUCAACAUGCCCGCCACAUUUCAAACUCAAACUGUCUCCACAUGUCAAGAUCCACUGUGUUUGGGUUUGUUUGCAGUUCCCUCAGCUUGCUGGUAAUUGUGGUGUUUUGUUUUCGAUGCAAAUGUGAUGUAAUAUUCUUAUUUUCUUUGGAUCAAAGCUGGACUGAAAAUUGUAUUGUGUAAUUAUUUUUGUGUUUUUAAUGUUAUUUGGUACUCAAGUUGUAAAUAACGUCUACUGCUGUUUAUUCCAGUUUCUACUACCUCAGGUGUCCUAUAGAUUUUUCUUCUACCAAAGUUCACUCUCACAAUGAAAUUCUAUGUGCUGUGUGACUAGGAUUCCUAAGACUUCCAGGGCUUAAGGGCUAACUCCUAUUAGCACCUUACUGUGUAAGCAAAUGCUACAAAAAACCUCUGGGUUAAGAAAAUUUGGCUUAAGUGUAUCCUUUGUUAUUUUAAAUAUAUCAAGAUAUUUUAAUUAAAAUUUUUACCCCUUUGAACCAAUUUUAUAGUAUUUGUACCUAUUUUGGUG